UGUCCCCAUUUGCAGAAAGGGUCAGAACCCCCUUUUGCCGUUUUAGGUUAUAGCACAGCUAUUUAUGGCAUCCCCAAAUCAAGUCAUGUAUACCUCAUUUGCUCUUGUCAGCUGCAGUGUGCUGUGAUGUCUCUCAAGUCUGUUUUAGGACAAUACACGCAAAUACUAGUACAUACUCCUAUAUUAGUUUACGGAGGGAGUACUAUCUGAAUUCUGAAGACUGUUCUCUCCAUCAAGCUCAUUCCUUCAGAAGCAAGGGUGCUUUUUCAUAUGCCUGCUCUGUCCAAUGUGAUGUCUGGAAGCAGUUUUAGGCCAUCACAUACAUACGAUGUCUGAUCACCUGUUCUCUCCUCCGACUGCAUUUCUUCAGAAUCAGGAAAUCUGAAAUCUGCAAGUGUUCCUCGCCACUUCCUUUUUUACCAUGCGUGGAGUAACCAAAUCUUGCACAAAGCCCUUGGCUUCUGAAUGUGCAUUUCUUCAGAAUCCGGAUAUCUGCUAAGACGUCGUGACGACACCUGAGCGAUCAACAUCGAAGACAAUCUCAUCGCCACACAACGCGAGGUGAACAUCAUCACUGCUACUCGAAUUUUGAUGACAACCUCUGCAGCUGCUCCACUGCACCUUGAAGCCAAAGUACUACAGGAAAUUCCAUGAGAGAGUUGAUACAACUAAAUCAUGCAUAGUCAAAAAGGUUAUCAUGAUUCGAGUUAUUUAGAAAGAGCACCUAGAAAGUAUUUUGGAAGGUAUCUAGUGUACUAGAUGAGUGAUUUUUAUUUUUGAUGUUAAUGAAAAAAUCUGAUUUGUUUUUACAACAUUCACAUAACAUACAUCUUUUUUUUGAAAAA